AGAGAGAGACAUGCGCGCAUAUCAAUAAGCGGAGGAAAAGAAACUAACAAGGAUUCCCUUAGUAACGGCGAGUGAAGCGGGAAGAGCUCAAAUUUGAAAUCUUCAAGGUUCUACCUUGACGAAUUGUAGUUUAUAGAAGUGUUUUCUGUUAGUGGAGUGGCAAAAGUUCUUUGGAAUAGGACAUCAUAGAGGGUGAGAAUCCCGUAUUUGGUCAUUCCUCCUAGCGUUGUGAUACACUUUCAACGAGUCGGAUUGUUUGGGGAUGCAGUCCAAAAUGGGUGGUAAAUUUCAUCUAAAGCUAAAUAUUGGCGAGAGACCGAUAGCGAACAAGUACCGUGAGGGAAAGAUGAAAAGAACUUUGAAAAGAGAGUUAAACAGUACGUGAAAUUGUCAAAAGGGAAGCGUUUGACACCAGUGUUGUUCUUCCGAAAAUCAAUUACGAAUGUUUUAUUUUUGAGGAGUUAUGACUUCAUCGGCUUGCUUCUCUCUUUACUGAAACUUUCUUAAUGCACUUUUCGGUUAACAAGUCAACAUCAAUUUCUUUUGUUGUAAAAGGGUAUGAGGAAGGUGGCUUUCUUUUCGGAGAAAGUGUUUAUAGCCUUGUGCCUCUGCAAUCGGAGAGAUUGAGGUCUGCAGCGUAGAUCCUUCGGGGUUAGAUACAUUUGUGCUAAGUUAUAGCUUUUCAUAGACAACUUGUUGACUAUGUUUAGUCUUGUAGCUUACUCGCUUAUGCUAUUUUACCUACGCUUAGGAUGUUGAUAGUCACAGCGUGUAC
rnacentral:rRNA from 1 species